UACAGCCCAACACAGAAAGGGACCUAACAACUCUAUCUCUAGAUUUUUUCCCAAGGGCCAAGAUACCUUACGAGAGGAUCGUUUUAGAUUACCACAUUUUGCAUUCAUGUUAUAUUCUUUUUUAUUUUCUAUUUCAGGACCAUGAAAGUGUUAUAAGAGCAAUUUACAUUGGUUCCCAGUUUUUGCAAAGUGUUGUUUCUGGCAGUGAAUUAAGUUGUUAUAGCUCUUGAUUUUACAAGUUUCUAUGCUGAGGAAGGUGCGGUCAAGUAUUGUAUACCUUAACAUUAAUAUUGGGAUCAUAGUUAUAUCUAAUCGUAUGGUGUUUUGUAAUGAAUAUAAGUACCUAGAUCAGUUGAUAGAGGGAUCAUAGUUGGUCAUUCAGGGAGGUUAAGGUAAGUCCUUCAUCCUAAUCCUAACUGGAAGGGCUGGGUAAAUAUGCACAUGUUUAAUAUAUGAUACUGACGCAUGCGAAUUAGGAUUGCAUUGAGGUUGGAUUUUGAGUUUUGUUCCUGAUUGGAUAUAGGAAGCAGCAGCAGCAGCAUAGUUGCUCUGGUGGUGGUAGCCAUGUAGGUAGCCUCCAGUCUGGUAAGGUAUGCACCACUUCCACAGGGUGCUCUUCUAACUCUUCUGUUAACUCUUCUGUACAAGCCUAUUAAGCUAAUAUGUAAUUUUCAUAGUUUCCUGGACAUAUACUCAAGUAGCUUUGUUUUAUGUGGUAUCCACCAUUGAUUUAAUCAAUACCUUGAAGUUUUUCUCAUGCCGUUAUAUAUUAGGGAUCUGGGACCAGCCACACAAAAGUUUACUUCGUUCUUACCUUUAGAUGGAAUAUGGUAGGGACCAUCGUUCUGUUUUUUAAUGUUUUCAUGUUUUGUACAAUAGCAAUUAAUAUAUACAUAUAUAUAUAUAGAUAUAUACACAUUAGUGAAUCUAUGUAUUCAUAUUCUGACUCCUUUAUUGUAAUAAUCAUGAUUAACUCAAUGUUUUCAUUCAGUAAAACCUACAUUGUUUGGGUGGAGGCUUGUUGUAUUGGAAACUCUUGCCUUAAGCAGACAAAACUUCAGUGCACUGAUUGAUAGUGGAACAACGUUUACAUUUCUUCCAGAGGAAGUCUAUGAAAAAAUAAACGAAGGAGGUGGUUAUGCAUAGAACUUCAUGACGGGGUACCGGAUAAUAUUUGAUGGGGAAAGUUUGAAGUCAGUUUGAUCACGCUCAAAACUUGUCUUUCGAUAUAUUUUAAGACUGCUCCAUCCUUUCCAAGUUGAAUGUCGCUUGUGAGUGGAUGCCCUUAUCCAAUGUGUUGAAACCAGGAAAUGAAACUGCAACUCUGCCGUGUUGCUUUGUCUCUGUUGAUGAGAACUAACCCAAUUUGCAUGAUGGUAUAGAAUGCCCCUUGCUUCUCCAAGUGGCAUGCCAUCGAAUCCAUUGCCAACAAAUGAGCAGCAGAGCACCCCCGGUGGGCAUGCAGUUGCUCCUGCUGUUGCCGGAAGAGCUCCCUCCAAACCAGUCGGCUCAUUGUCUCUAGGUUCUGUUUGCUAAGAUUGUUGUUCGAGCUGAUUCAUCAUGUUUCUAAUUAUUUCCUGAGCAUACAUGGCGUAUUGCACCAUAUUUAAUUCACCCUGUUUCUUUGGUGUUGAGCCCACUUUUUAUUUUAGAAUAAGAAUUGUUUGUACCAAUUAUUUGUAGAAAAAUGCUAGGCUUACCGAGAUAUGGGUUUCGAUAAAUUUUUUAUUUUAUUUUAUUUUUACCUAGUGAUUAAUGAAGUGUUUUUUUAAUGA